GCGCUCGCUUCGGCAGCACAUAUACUAAAAUUGGAACGAUACAGAGAAGAUUAGCAUGGCCCCUGCGCAAGGACUGAUUCUUAAGUGCUUAGAUCAGGCGUCCCCAAACUAU
ensembl:snRNA U6 U6 spliceosomal RNA